UUCACAUUCUCAGCUUUCUCAACAGUGACCUCCUCGAGAAGAAACCUGCCACUGGUUGUAGAGGGAGAGAACAAUCUAUUUACCCAAAACAAUUUUAAAACUAGAAACUGGCCAUGAAGCUUGAACUUGUUUUUGCAGUCGCUGUAAUAAGCCUAAUGGUCGUCAUACCCGUAACUUCGUAUAAUGACGAUCUACCCAUCUACAAAUGGAGUCCUUUGGUUUUUCGUGGUUUUAAGAAGAAUGACUAUAAGUUCUGUGCGACUGAGUAUACCGAAUGUGGGCAGAAGAGAACCCAGUUUGGCUAUCUAAUCCGGCAGCCAUGCUGUAAGGGUCUUAUUUGCGAACAAGUUGGCCGACGACAGCUGUGUAUAACACGAUGGCGCUGGGAAAAUACUAACGAAGUGUACUAUCCUUGAAUUAAUGGAAAAUAUUCAGGGCUGCAAAAAACCGAAGUCUACGAAGUCAUAUUUUAACUCAUUUUGCGUAUGCUUUGUCUUACCAACAGAAAUACUGUCAUGUAUGUAAUAUGUGUUUGUUGAAUAAAACCAAAUUUUUGUCUGGGCUAUUCUUA